rnacentral:lncRNA from 1 species
GGAAAGAGUGGCUGAGUGAAGAUCGUUUAGAAGGUGUUGCAUAAUGGCGCAAUUUUUCGUUACGUUUGAUCAAAAUUUAUCUUUUAUUUUUACUUUGAAUUGUUAUUGUUUUACAUGUCAGUAUUAUUUGUAUCAUAAUGGUUAGUAUCAGGUAAAAGUUUAUGUGUUGUUCUAACCGAGUUCUUGAAUACAAGAUCUGAAAGUAGUUCUAAAAAAAGAGUAUUUGUCCUUCUUGUCCUCUUGUUUUCGACUAAACCCUGUCAAAAAGAGAGAAAGAUCCAAAAAAUUAUUGAAGUGUUUUUUUGGGAGUAUUAUUUGUUGGAUAGAAAAUGCAUCGGAUUCUAGUUGAGAAUGAAUUAUUCUAUGGGGGAGGAUAUAUCACUAACGCGUCACUACUAAAACAUUUAGCAAAACAAAACUACUGUAACAGUUAUUGGUCAUGCUCAGUGUACUGCAUCUAGGGGUGUACAUAGGCCGGGUUGGUUCGAAUUUUACAAUUACCAAAACAAA